rnacentral:lncRNA from 1 species
ACAUAUUCUUUCAUUUUUUUUAUUAUUUUUAUUAACAUUAUUGUUUAUAGUAUUAUAAUUAUUGUUAGUCGUCCCAGUUGUAGUAGAAGUAAUAGAUAUAAUGUCGUGUUCUUGUUUUGUAACACUACAGCUGUGUUUUCUUUCUUUUUUACAAUUAUUUUCGUUUUUUUUUUUUUUUUUUUUUUUUUUUUUUUUUUUUUUUUUUUUUUUUUUUUUUUUUUUUAUUUAUUACCAAUUAUAAUGAAUAAAUAUUUUGCUUUAAACAAAAAACAAAAAAACAAAAACAAAAACAAAAACAAAAACAAA